GUAAACCAAUUUUAAACUUGCCAAACGUGUGGUGUUUUCUUCGCUCCACAUGUGCUUGUGACAUGCGGAGAGAGGUUUUCACUGCCUUUCUGCUUCUCCUACUUUCUGCCAAAGCUGAAAGGUAAGGGAGAGAAAUUACUACAGGAUGGAACUUUAUCAAAAGCUAAUUUUCUAGUAGAUUUAAAUAAUACCUUUUUUAGGAGUCUCCCUUAAAUGGUUUGCCUAAUUUCACUACACACAAAGAGGGCAGGUAAUUUUUAGUGCAACCGUGGAUCCAACCGAGGGCUUGGCUCAUACCUCAUUGCUUCGUUCCACCAUAAUGAACAAACUACAAUGUAGCUUCAGUAAACAUUAACGGAGCUUAAAUUUCUCACAAGAAUUUUUUUUUCUGAUAAUUUUCUAUUUAAACUGUUGGAUAUAUCUGCCUCGCCCCCCACCAGAAUAAUAUUUGGCAGAAUUCAUUCAUAUCCACAUUCUGCCACCAGCAAAUUGGUUCGCCAAUCUGGGGGGUCAUUUUCACUCAGCUCUAGAAACUAUUCCUUAAUUCGCCUAAGUACUUCAUUAACUGCAGAGAGCAUAGUGAAAAGGAGACAUCUUCUUUGCACCGACGGAGGAAGAGGAGUGUGGGGGGAGCACACUGCCCCUGGCAGCACAAUACCAGCAGGGUGCCAUCGUGGCUGCCCCCUGCCCACGCUGGGUGCUACACCCCCACUGGUGGCGCGCCACACCCCCAGGAUAUGCGCCACACCCCUGUGGGUGGUGCGCCCCGCCCCAAGACAUGCGCCAGCCCCGCCCCACCUGCUCUCCACACACCCCCGGUGCCAGAGCAUGAAGCUCCACCACUGCUUCUUUGUCCCAAUUUUGCCUUUCUGGUUGUCACAGAAGACUGAAGAGAGGGUUCUGUGCCCCUCUGCUAAGGGAUUGAAAAGCAAAAGCAUGGAUUUCUAUAACUCUGGUUUUGUUGUUAAUGAGGACAAGACCCUCUAUGCUUCCCACAAAAUAGAGGCGAGAUCUUCAAAUGGGUGAAUGCAUGCCUGAGUAUCUCACCAAUGUUCAUGAAUUUUGUGUACAAAAUACUAAACAAAAUUGUUUGUUUCUGCUGUAAUAUAGUAAUUUAAAUUGCCAGGUGCGUUCAGAUAUUUCUCAGGAUUUUUUUUUUUCUUGUGGGGGAAAAAAAAACCUUAGAAGUGCUACAUCUCACCCUUAGCAAUUCUGAGUUGUUGGGAAGUACAGUAAUUGCAAUUGGCAAUUUAGCAAAGAUAAUUUGGAUGAUUUAAUGAGUUCAUUAAGUUGUUUCUUUGGCCCUGGUGAAAACUUAAUGGAGGUAACUCACAUUCCAGUUAGAGUUCCCUAAGGGAGGGGGAGAUAAUUUAGAAAAUUGAAAAAGAGUGAUUGAGCUUUGCAAAGACAGCUGAUGAACAACCUCUGCUGUAAAUCAUCAUAAAUGAUGAAGAUAAAUGGAAACUACUUUUAAUUUUCUUCUGAGAGAUAGAAAGUGUCAUCAAAUCCACUCAAAACACUGGUGAGUCUGUUGACUUCGGUGAGAUAAGUGGUUUAGUCACAAUGCUACAGACAUUUUAUUCAAAGCAUAUAUACAUAUAACCUGAAUUGUCAGAUAAGAAUUCCAAUGCUCAUCAUUCUUUAUUUAAAAAUAACAAUGCCUCUCAAUAUAGGAAUUUAACAAGUAGUUGUGAAAUUCAAUUUUAUACUUAGAUUGCUAGUCCCCUUCCAUAGUUAUUCACAGUAGUCAACACAACACACCGGGUAAGCAGCACAGAUGGGCCACUUAGCUCUGUGGAAGGUUGUGGGAAAUUAUGCACAACUUUGCUUUACAAGCAGAGAUGGUAGAGAAUUCUGGCAUAUUUGGAACUGGUACCAGAAAUCAUUUCAGUUUGCAUGUUCAUUCUCAACCUGGAAGGGAAAUCAGGCAAGCAAAUAUGACUGGUAUUUACUGUCAUUUUUUAAGUCUGCAAAUGUUUCCUGUUUUCCUCAUGCUUCCUUCCAUUGAAAUGAAUGGCGCAGCAUCAUUUAAUGGUUACAUAAUUAAUUACAUAAUUAAUUACAUUUUGUUUGGCGUCAGCAGACAGCAAGGCAAGCAACAUUUUUUAAAAUGGAAUUCCAAACUCUAGUGAACAUGGAAACAGCACUGUGCAUGACAAAUACAAGGUAGACAGGAAAAUCAUGCUGUCUUAUAUCCUUAUACUUGCAAGCAGCAAUUAUUUAUUGGUGGACUGAGUUCAGUCAAAAGAUGUGCAGGUAGGGAUAAAUGCUUAGUUUUAAAGAAUAGCCUUGAAGAGGUUAGUUUCUCACAAAUGGCACCUCUGUGGUUAUGGACUUCCAUUUUGCACUGUGUGCAGUAUUUUCUACUAUGCAUGUGGUUGCAUAGUACAACCCCAAACAAUUUUUUAUUAUUGAAAAAUAAACCAUUUGCAACAUAGCUGGAAACAAGAUAUGCAAGGGGACCAAAGGCGAUUUAUCUGCUAUGCUCUAAUCCACUCAUGCGGAACGUCUGGCGCAAAAACCUAAUCAGGUCAACAAGGCUUCAGAAGUUGGCCAGGCAGCCCAUUUUAGCUGAACCAUAUCCACCUCUCCUGGGCCUGUUUGUCACAUAUGAAUUUAGUUAUAGCACACACCCGAUUCCUUUCUUUGAGGAGUCACCUGCUGUCAUCAUGAUGCCCAUGACUGACGGGUAGGUGUGGCCUCAUCCAACUGUCAAAGUGACCCACAGUGGGUGGAGGAACUCUGAAUCCAGUCCUCUUCCCCACCCCUGUCCUAAGACAUGCCGAGUUCACACUGAAAUGAGUUCUUUCCAUUGCACUAUUUAUUAAAGCAUUGUUUUUAAAAGAGAAAAAGAUUUAGGCCGGGGCUGGGUAUAAAUAUGUAUUGAAAUGUGAAAUUUCAUGCAGAUUUGUGCCUGUGUGUUUAAUGGCAGAUUGAAAUAGAAAUGUGCCGGGGAAACAGACUUAUGGGUGAACACAUGUGAAAGUGACAUUGACUGGAAAUAGUGUGAUUUACUUGUCUCCAGUAAGUGCAUAAAUAUGUUCUCAAUUCAUUGUGCAGGAACCUUCUCUGAUAUAUAACUUUUUCCUGUACUUUCAGGAACAGCUGCUGAAACUAAUAUAUUGUCACUGUGAUUAUAUAUAUAUAUAUAUAUAUGGAUCCCACUACAUUGUGUCAUAAUAACAAUGAGUCCUAAUAACUGUCUUCAGGGGCAAUUUCAUCAUGAUGUGGAACAUGGGUAGGCAAACUAAGGCCCAGGGGCUGGAUCCGGCCCAAUAGCCUUCUCAAUCUGUCCCAUGGAUAGUCUGGGAAUUAGCGUGUUUUUACAUGAGUGGAAUGUGUCAUUUUACUUUAAAUGCAUCUCUGGGUUAUUUGUGGGGCCUGCCUGAUGUUUUUACAUGAGUAGAAUGUGUGCUUUUAUUUAAAAUGCAUCUCUGGGUUAUUUGUGGGGCAUAGGAAUUUGUUCAUUUCCCCCCUCAAAAUAUAGUCCGGCCUCCCGCAAGGUCUGAGAGACUGUGGACCAGCCCCCUGCUGAAAAAGUUUGCUGACCCCUGAUGUAGAACAUGGUAGCAAUAGUCACUGAGAGACUAUUGCAAACACUCCACCUCUCUUCUAUCUGCUGCACAGCUCAAGCCACAUUUAUAGAGUUGUCUAAGUACCAUAGCUUUGUCCUAACAUACCUUAGAGGGCUCCUUGUCAUUGGCACCAGAUCAAAACCUCCACAGGUUUAGAAUGAGGAAAAUGUGCAAUGAUUAAUGUUGCAUUGCCCAAUUAAUCUGCGAAGCAACUGUCAUUUUUGUAAAAUCAUAUUUCAUAGUAGCAAAGAGGCUGAGGGAAGGCCAAUAAUCAAUGGCAAUUUUUUUCUUACUUUUCUUACAUUUAAAGUUUUUCUUAUAUUUAUGCAUAAUAAACUGUAAAGUGCUGCAAUAUUGAGUAGGUCUGGUUGAAAGCAAUCUUGACAAGAUGGAGGCAAUAGUGGAUGGUUCAUUAGUGCAGUGAGGCAAAUCAAUCAGCACACAUAAAGAGCAAUAAAAAUUAAUAAUAAUAAUAAAAAUAAUCAGCACCCACCUCAGCAGCCCAAACCUGAUUCUGGGUUAUGUAAAUUGUUGGGUUUGACAAGUAUUACUGUGCAAUGAGAAGUAACUUGCCAUUCAGUUGCCAAUGUGAAACAUUUCUACAACAAAAGACCAUCCCUUAGUUGGGACGAUCUAGAGCAAAAUCUGCAAAAUACCUCUCGGAAAGUCAUCAUUUUUAUCCAUUGCUAUACCAUAAAGAGGAGAGAAUGAGACAGAGAGAGAUGGAGAGAGAGAGAGAGAGAGAGAGAGAGAGAGAGAGAGAGAGGUGAAACUAAAUAGCUUGGAAAGCAGCAAUUUAAAUUCCAUUCGUGCUCCAGAUUGCAACCUGCUUUGUGUUCCUAGGUAGGGGUGUAUCCUGGCCUUUGUUGCUAUGGGAGGAAAGAGAUGAGGAACAACAUCAUGUAAUCAGUAAUGCCAGGCAGUUUUGAAUCAUCAGAUACAAUUUGCUGCAUGGUUUAUCUGAAUCAAAUCAAUGGUAUUUUGAGACUGAUGAUAAUUACUUCUGGUAUGAUUCCCUUGUACAGCAAUGAGCAGCCCAAUCCUGUCUUAUCCAUGAGCUCAGUAGGCCUUACUUCCAAGUAAGUGUAAAUGAUUGCAGCUGUAGUGUCCUAAGUAAUCAGCUUAUUUGAUUUAUACCUAUACUCUUACAAACUUAAACAGCUUGUUUGAUUAGUCAUUUAAUAUAAAGUGAUUUAUCGCAUAACUAUAGCUACAGUGCUAUGAAUUCCUCUGCCAACAAAAAUUAUAUUUUUACAAGUGAGUCCACUUACUAAGCAGAUCUUUUUUCAGGCUGCAAUACAUUAUGCAAAUUAGGAAAGACAUUGCACGUAAAAACAAAUCACAUAAGUCUAAACGUAUAAGUCUAUAUCAUACAGGGAAUAUAGUGGAUGCAAUCCCACUAAUAUUUACUGAUUGACUACUUAUGUUACAAAUUUUUGAGCAAAGUGGAACACUAAGUUUGAACGCUAUUUCAUUUUCAAUAAUAUUUGUACACUAACAGAGCAAACUAAUAUGUAUAUACUCAGAAGUAGGAACCUACAAAUUUUAUCAAUUUAAGCUUCUCUCAGAUUCUCAUGUGGAAUCUACAAAUCUUAUCAAUUUAAGCUUCUCUCAGUUUCUCAUGUCUCUAUUUUUAAGUUCACCACAUUUUGGCAUCAAUCUGUGGUUCUUUUUAAGUCCUCAUGAAAUUUUGUCAGUAUUUUUGUAUGCAUUUCUCAUAACAUAUGCAAUUUCGCCUAAUAUGCAUGAUUUGCAUGUGCUUUCCCCCAAUAAAAUACAUUUUUGUAUGUUAUUUUAGUUCAUAUAAGCAUGUUUAUGCACACUUUCUCCUAAUAUAAACAUUUUACGGUUGGAUAAAUUUAAAAGAAGUGUGAAUUUUGAUGGAUUUCAGGGUUGAUACAUUGUUUCAGGGAGUGCAGAUUCUGAACAAGAUUUCUCCCUCACUGAGUUCUAUCUCUGGGUAAUCAUGUAUAGAACGGCAACAUUAGACACCCCCCCCCAAAAAAGUUUGCAUUUGAUCAUGCGUAUUCUGAUUAGUGAUUUCAAAUAGAUACAUCUCCUAGCCCAUUUCCCUGGCCAAUCACCAUUUCCUGUUUGUAAAAGUUCAGUUGCAUAUUGUUCUUCUGAGCAGAGCUAUAUUUAAUAUUUCAGUUUGGUUUUAGUCUAGUUAGUUAAAAAGAGUCUAGUUAGUUAAAAAAUGGAGGACAUGUUUUUGAAAAGCCGGGACUAACCAACAUGUUUUUGUCAAGUACAAAUUGUAUCAAAUGGCCCUUAGCUGUAGAAGCCAAAAAAGAAAAAGAAAAUGAGAUAUAAGUUUGGAUCCAGAAUUUAUUGAGUGUAAAAUGUGGAUGUUCCUGUGUAUAACAAGACAAGAAUCUAGUUCCAUCCUUCAUUUCUGUGUGGACUGUCAGAGCUUUCUGAACCCUAAAAUGCUUUCCAGUACCCAUGGAAAACUGAUCAUCCAGGUUACAUUGACAGUGUUUCUCAAUGGUGCAGAAAGCUGUUCAAUAUGCAUGCAAACCUCCUGCAAAAAUCCUCCAGUGGAAGCCAGCCAAUUGUGACAGGUUGUAGUGUACAAGAUUUGAGGAAUAAUAAUAAUUUUUUUAAAGCCAGAUCAAUAGGUUAUCCAUCAAGAAUGUGUCCAAGGAAUGUUUCAGCUCAUCCCAGAGAGAUUUGUGUUUCUUU